AAAACAACCGUGAUGCCCUUAGUAAUGGCGAAUGAAACGGGCAGAGCCCAGCACCGAACUGCCGGCCAUCUCGGUCGCGUGGAAUGUGGUGUUUGGGAGAGCCUCAUCGCAGCGAGCCGAAGCGUUCAAGUACACCUUGACUGGGACCACGGCCCGUAGAGGGUGAUAGGCCCGUGAGACUUUUGGCUUGCUGCGCUGGCUUUUCCCUAGAGUCGAGUUGUUUGGGAGUACAGCUCAAAGCGCGUGGUAAACUCCACGUAAGGCUAAAUAUGACCCCGAGACCGAUAGCGAACAAGUACCGUGAGGGAAAGUUGAAAAGCACUUUGAAGAGAGAGUUCAAGAGUACGUGAAACCGCUUAGUAGUAAACGGAGGGGCUCUCGAAGUCGGCGGUGACGGUUCAGGGCGACGGCGGGGCGGCAUGGCGUUUUGGGAACCGCAAGGUCCCUGGCGCUUUGUUGGCUUUGUCGGCGCCUGCACUUCGUUGCCGCCAUACGCGACGAACCGUUUCUGACGGACCGAGGGCGUGGGUGAAGUUUGCGGGCCUCGGCCUUCAAGCCCCGCGUUCCUGGCUCUGUCGGGGACGGGUAGUGGAGCGAUCUCUUAUAGAGAGUGCCCUUGCUGGCACG
rnacentral:rRNA from 1 species